rnacentral:misc_RNA from 1 species
GUGAAGAUGAUGGAAAUCAUAUUCCUUCACUUCUGACUUGGAAUGAUGGUGCCGAUAUAACCAAAUCCCAUAACGAUGAACGACAAGGACUGAGGAAAGAUGUAGAUGUAGUAGAAAUCAUUUCCAAAGACACAGUCAUAACAUGCACAUACCAGUAGGAAUCCUCCAAUUGCCAGCUCCAGAACAUGAAAUCUCUCCCAGAACUUGAAUUGGAGCCUUUUCCUGAUACUGGAAGUUGUUUUUGUCUUCAACAUGUCUCCUAAUUUCUCAGUAACAACCCACUCAUUGGCUCUUCCU